UCCUCUCUCCUCUGUCCUGUCUCCUCUGUCCUGUCUCCUCUGUCCUCUGUCCUCUGUCCUGUCUCCUCUGUCCUCUGUCCUGUCUCCUCUGUCCUCUCUCCUCUCUCAUCUGUCCUGUCUCCCCUCUGCAGUUGGAUGAAACCACUCAGGACUUGAGCGUCUCGCAGCUCAGUCUCUCUCAUGGAGCCGACUACAUGGAGGAGGUGGCCUGACUCCCAGCAUGCAUCACUCUGCGCUCUCCCAUCAUGCACCUCUUUGUUUGGAUGAAACCACUCAGGACUUGAGCGUCUCGCAGCUCAGUCUCUCUCAUGGAGCCGACUACAUGGAGGAGGUGGCCUGACUCCCAGCAUGCAUCACUCUGCGCUCUCCCAUCAUGCACCUCUUUGUGUCUGUAUUUAAGUUUCACUAGAAAAAUAAAUAUAUUUGUAUCGAC